GCCGAUUCUCGUCCGAUCACCGAAGUUAAGCAACGUUGAACCUUAUCAGUAUCUGGAUGGGUGACCGCUUGGGAAUGCCAGGUUCUGUAAG